UUGCUGGAGAUCCUUGUGCUGUGUGAGGCCUUUUGAAGGAGGCAUCGCAUGCUAUAAAUACUACACAUGCCAGCACAAUUGCCAGAGAAAUGAGGAAAGAAAAUUUCUUGAUCUGGUUGUUUACCCAGUGCCCCCUGAAGACGUUCUUGAUUUCAUCUGGGACCUUUCAUAUGACUUCGCUGUCCAUCAUGCUAGAAGCUUUUCAAUUCUGCCUUGCUCAUUACUAAGAAAUCAAUGGGAUCUGAUAUAACCUCUGGAUAAAAUGCAGAAUGGAAAUGGGAAAUAAUGUGAAUAGAAAUGAAAACUGAAACAAAUAACAGAAAAAUCAUAAACACACACACAAACAGAAAUUCCUAAGCUGGGGAAUCUGAACCAGCAAAACUAGCAAAAUGGCAGUCACGCCUAUCCUUAAAGCAGUAAGAACUGUAUCUUAGCAAGACACUGAGUAAUGGAGUUAAAACCACACACAUCUAUUGUAAUUUCUUAUAUAAAUUUUUAAUUCUUUCAGAGAUACUUCCGUUGCUUUCCACUUCUGUGUUCUGGAAAAUAGUAUGGUGAGAGCCUCAUUAGUGCAUAAAUGCCUAUGCGAGAAAUUCUUUGAAACUCCAGCAUGUAACACUUCAUGCUCCAAUAUUUGCAGUCAAUUUUGUACUUCCUUUUCAUGGCACAUGAUGCCACAUAAUACCCCAAAAUUACUUGUUCUGCUUAUUAAGGGAUGUUGCAGUCUGAAUACUGAAAGGACUUCAGUGCCCUGCAUCCUUUCUAAUGUUGUUCCUGAGAAAACAGUGAAGUUAACCUUCACCUUAUUCUUCAUUUUCUUUAGCACCCUCAGGAAUAAGUGUGUAUGAAAUUCUAUCUCAGAAAAUCCUGACUGCAGGCUGUGGUCCAAAAACAAUCUAAAUCUUCUUAAGAAUGCCUCACAAAGGGCAUUUUGCAAAUGAGGAAAAAGACCUGACCCAAAGAUUCAUAUAUAUGAUCAUUAUUUUUUAGAACUCUUCCUCCCAGAAGAUGCCACAGUGGGAUUUUUCAAACACUUUAUUUCAUAUAACGUUGUUUAUAGGGGACUGGGGAAGAAUAAGAAAGAGAGGAAUUCACAUAUUAGGAACCACAGGAUCUCAAAAUCACUAUAAAAUCAGGCAUCAGGAUGUCUCUCAUGCUAAAUUUCCAAAAUCUGAAAUGUUUAUACUUACUUACUGCUUUUGAAAAUGUUGCUACGUCUGAAGUUCUCUCCCCUCUGCUAGAUCCUUUAAUGAAAUAAUAGAGAUAAUAUCUGGCUCACAGUGCUUCACAUACAUACACUCAAUUGCAGUUUUAAUGUUUAAAUAGAUGGGGAUCAGUUACAGUGUAAGAAGAAAAAUUCUUGCAUAUUUGCUGAGUGCUCCUUAUGGCUAUUCAGAAGCAUUUUUUACAUGAUGUUUUACAGAACUUUUAAACAAUCAGAUACUCUAACAAUUAAUUUUCUUAUUUAAAGAAAAAUAAAGAAGACAGUAUCAUAAAGCAUAUUUCCAAGUGCUAUCCAGUGAAUCCAAGGAAUAAUCUCUGAUAGAAACAGGUGGUUAUACAUCAAAAUAAAUAAGAAUAUUGCCAUUAAUUUUAAUAACAUAUCCUCCUUCUCCCACUUCAAAGUUUUGUCUUUUUUCCAUUUAGCCCUGUCAGCAUAUUCUGAAGUAGUAUAUAGAAAGUGGAAUGAAAGAUGAUAUACGCAGUAACCAAACAUGAGUAGCACCACAGAAUCUGUGAAAUACUGUUUAGAAAGGCCCUCUAAAGGUCAGUUCAUCCACCAACAGCCCAUUCCAGUAGGACUGCUGCCAGCAUAAGAUCAGUUCGUCUUUCACAGGAUCUCAAUAUCUGUGUUCCCACGUUAGCAAUAAAUCAAAAUGGAAGAAAGACGAGAGCUACAGGGAUCAGAAGUAAUUUAUCUACUCUUAUUCUUUCUCAUUUGGUUCUGUGCACAUAUUUGUUCAUUACAAAUUCAGCUAAAAUUUGUAGACAGAGAUGUGUGCUGAUAUUCCUCAAGCAGGUGGAAGAAAAACUGGGAUUUUCAUUUCAGUGGCUGUCCAACCUUAUAUCCAUAAGUUGCAAAUCAUAUAUGUAAGUUAUAAAUCAUAGAAAUAUAUGAUGAAAUU
ensembl:lncRNA